AGAUUAAGCAAAAAAGAGCGCAGGGUGGAUGCCUUGGCACUAAGAGCCGAAGAAAGACGUGAUAAGCUGCGAAAAGCUGCGGGGAGAUGCAAAUGAUCCUUGAUCCGCAGAUGUCUGAAUGGGGAAACCCGGUACGAAGAACUCGUAUCAUCCAUACGCCAAUCCAUAACGUAUGGAGGGGAACCCGGUGAACUGAAACAUCUAAGUAGCCGGAGGAAGAGAAAGAAACAUCGAUUUUGUUAGUAGCGGCGAGCGAAAGCGAAAGAGGCCAAACCGGAGUGCGUGCACUCCGGGGUUCGGACCGCAUUUAAGAUUCAGUGAUUCUAGCAGAAAGGUUUGGGAAAGCCUGCCGGAGAGGGUGAAAGCCCCGUAAGCGAAAGGAGAACUGACUGAGCGGGAUCCAGAGUACAUCGAGACACGAGAAACCUUGAUGGAAAGAGCGGGGACCACCCCGUAAGCCUAAAUACUACUUAGUGACCGAUAGCGCAUAGUACUGUGAAGGAAAGGUGAAAAGGACCCCGGGAGGGGAGUGAAAGAGAACCUGAAACCCUGUGUUUACAAGCUGUGGAAGUUCUUUAAAUGAACAACCGCGUACUUUUUGUAGAACGGUCCGGCGAGUUGCGGAUACUGGCAAGGUUAAGCACUUAAGGUGCGGAGCCGAAGGGAUACCAAGUCUUAACAGGGCGUUAAGUCAGUAUACGCAGACCCGAAACCGGGUGAUCUAUCCAUGUCCAGGUUGAAGUUGUCGUAAAAGACAAUGGAGGACCGAAGCCACAUCCGUUGAAAAGGGUGGGCAUGAGGUGUGGAUAGGGGAGAAAUUCCAAUCGAACCCGGAGAUAGCUGGUUCUCCUCGAAAUAGCUUUAGGGCUAGCCUCGAUUUAGUCUUAUGGAGGUAGAGCACUGAAUUUCCGCGGGGGCGUCAAAGCUUACCAAAGAAUAUCAAACUCCGAAUGCCAUGUAGAUGAUGA
rnacentral:rRNA from 1 species